rnacentral:rRNA from 1 species
CGCGUCAGAAUGUGAACUGCAGGACACAUGAACACCGACAAGUUGAACGCAUAUUGCACAUCAUACAACAGUACGAUGUACACAUUUUUGAGUGCCUAUAUUUACCGAUUUAACUAUACGUUCGUGCGUGAACCCACACACGACGUAUGCGGAGUGACGUUUUCCCGCCUUCAGUGUGCGAUAAAACGUUCAAGAUAGUCAAACACGGACGGCACACUAGCUGCUGCUCGUUCGUGGUUGAUGAGUACACCCCACAAGCUCGGAGACGACUUGCGUGUGCAUCAUCAGCACCCACUUUGACCAAAAUCACCCCCCCACAUGUAGGCCUCAAAUAAUGUGUGAC